ACGAAAAAAUGAAACUUUGAUAGCCUGUAGAGUUUCGGGCGCUGAGUCGAAUGGUCUUGGUCCGAAGUCUCUACGACGAAGCGUUCUUGAGAUAUUUCACUUUGAAAUUGCAAAAACGGGGGCCGCGCCCUGACGUCAUGCGGCCAUUUGGUUACAUCAUCACGGGCUGCCUACGUCAUUGUGGCAAAGUCGUUUCUCUUCGCCAGUCUACAAGCACUAAUUUUAGUUGGUAUUUCAAGGGAAGAUGGGCGAUUCCGAACAAUCCUCUGUCCCCAGCAAUGAAGGCAGCGAUGCUGAGGCCAGUGAGGACGACCAACAGCCCACCGCCGCGUAUGGUUGGGGCAGGGAGCCCAGAUACUCUGCUGAGGAGCUGCCAUCGCGUGUAACAAAUGUGGAGGAAGAAGAUGCGUCAGCAGCUGCGUCCGACAGAAGACGAGUAGCUUGGCCACCAGAAUCUCGAUUCGUUUGGGACUCCGACUGGUGCGAGCGUGGACAAAAGUGUAUAGCCAUGCCCAGCCCGCGGGAAUGAUUUUGCUGGUAGGAUGCUGCCGUCGCUGUCGACAAGACGGCCCAAGGUUUCUUGCGUAGCGGACCUCGCAGAUUACGAGAUCGUAUCCUUGCAUUAGGCUGUGCUCAUCACUGCUCUUCGAGGUUAUCUCGACAUGCAGAAGCCGCCAAUGCCAGUGACAGAAGAGUCUGACAUUAGAUCUCUACGCUAUGCGGCACACAGGCAGUACACACUAUGUACACAGCAAAUUGGGCAAGCACGUUCGUUGUCGUCUUCCAGCCUGCGUUGUGAAUACCAUCAGGCAAAGAUAUCCAAAUCCUGCACCACCUCAGCCUUCUCAGGAGGCUUCCACCUGGAAUUUGGCAGGGAAACACGCUUCUCCAAGGCAGGAACAUGGAGGUUGCCAUUUGCAACCGCUACCACCUCACACAUGAGCUUGUCAACAUACUCAUAGCUCUUUCUGUCGUAUAAUUUUCUAUUUGGCCACAGUCUUCUUUAUGCUUUGAGAACUGGACUUUAUACCUUCC